rnacentral:tRNA from 1 species
AUUUAAAUAGCUUAUAUUUAGAGUAUAAUAUUGAAGAUAUUAGGGAGAUUAGUUAAAUCUUUAAAUA